GAUGAACGCUGGCGGCGUGCCUAAUACAUGCAAGUCGAGCGAACAGACGAGAGUGCUUGCACUCUCUGACGUUAGCGGCGGACGGGUGAGUAACACGUGGGUAACCUACCUAUAAGACUGGGAUAACUUCGGGAAACCGGAGCUAAUACCGGAUAAUAUUUAGCUUCGCAUGAAGCAAUAGUGAAAGACGGUUCUGCUGUCACUUAUAGAUGGACCCGCGGUGUAUUAGCUAGUUGGUGAGGUAACGGCUCACCAAGGCAACGAUACAUAGCCGACCUGAGAGGGUGAUCGGCCACACUGGGACUGAGACACGGCCCCGACUCCUACGGGAGGCAGCAGUAGGGAAUCUUCCGCAAUGGACGAAAGUCUGACGGAGCAAUGCCGCGUGAGUGAAGAAGGGUUUCGGAUCGUAAAACUCUGUUGUAAGGGAAGAACAAGUACGUUAGUAACUGAACGUACCUUGACGGUACCUUACCAGAAAGCCACGGCUAACUACGUGC
rnacentral:rRNA from 1 species